UACGAGGGGUGCAAGCGUUGCUCGGAAUCAUUGGGCGUAAAGGGUAGGUAGGUGGUCUCAUUUGUCUGGGGUGAAAGCCUUGAGCUUAACUCAAGAAGUGCCCUAGAAACGGUGAGACUGGAGUCUUGGAGAGGCGAGCGGAAUUCCCGGUGUAGCGGUGAAAUGCGUAGAGAUCGGGAGGAACACCAGAGGCGAAGGCGGCUCGCUGGACAAGCACUGACACUCAACUACGAAAGCGUGGGGAGCAAACAGG
rnacentral:rRNA from 1 species